UACCUACUCCCUUCGUCCGAAAAUACUUGUCGUAGGAAUGGAUAUAUCUAGAUGUAUUUUAAUUCUAGCUACAUUCAUUUUAAUCAAUUUUUGCGACAAGUAGGUCUGGCGGAGGGAGUAUUAA
rnacentral:pre_miRNA from 1 species